rnacentral:rRNA from 1 species
GAUGAACGCUAGCGGCAGGCUUAACACAUGCAAGUCGAGGGGUAGAGGUUGCUUGCAACCUUGAGACCGGCGCACGGGUGCGUAACGCGUAUGCAACCUACCUUUUACAGAGGGAUAGCCCAGAGAAAUUUGGAUUAAUACCUCAUAGUAUAUGUUUUUCGCAUGUUAGACAUAUUAAAGUUCCAACGGUAAAAGAUGGGCAUGCGUCCUAUUAGCUAGAUGGUAAGGUAACGGCUUACCAUGGCAACGAUAGGUAGGGGUCCUGAGAGGGAGAUCCCCCACACUGGUACUGAGACACGGACCAGACUCCUACGGGAGGCAGCAGUGAGGAAUAUUGGACAAUGGGCGCAAGCCUGAUCCAGCCAUGCCGCGUGCAGGAAGAAGCAUCUAUGGUGUGUAAACUGCUUUUGUACGGGAAGAAACAUUCCUUCGUGAAGGAGCUUGACGGUACCGUAAGAAUAAGGAUCGGCUAACUCCGUGCCAGCCGCCGCGGUAAGAC